AAAGCCAUUCUUCUUUCUUCAAUUCUCUAAUGUUACUUCCCCCAUAUUUGCCUUAGAAUAAAAACAUUUCUUCAAUUUUCAAACUUUUUUUUUUGGUAUAAUAUACGUAGAGAGCUUUCUUUAGUCCACAUAAAGGGGGCAGUAUGGUUCAAUUAGCUGCUGACUCAUUCACACAAAUGCUAAGGCUUUGAGAAUUAUUAGGAGGAAAAACCUUAGUAACUGAGUGAAUGAUGCGGUAGGCUGACUGAAUCUUAAGCUUUUUUUGCUUGGACUGAAGGGAGCUCCCUCUUCGUAAUUACUUGAUAAUAUAUUUUCUUUUAUAUAUCUUCAAAUUUAUUAAAUUCCUAUUUGUACUCUACAUUUUAGUUUUAGUUAUUUGGUUAUUUCCUUCAUUUUGUUUAAUGGAUCAUAUCGAAGCAAUGGUAUUUCGAAAUAUAUUGAUAUAUUGUAUUGUCUCACAAGGACAAUUGGAAAAAAUUAAAUUUGAUUAAUAGAAGAUGGAAUACUGGAUUUCCCUAAGAGGAAGCUCUAUCACAACUAUAUGAUAUACAUUUAUACAUCUUUUUGUCCUCCUUGUAAGCAAAUACUAAAUAAAUGAGAAAUAUUAGGGUUUGUUUGUUUGAAAGGUUGCGAGUA